ACAAACCAAAUUAAGGUGAAACCGCGAAAGGCUCAUUAAAUCAGUUAUGGUUCCUUAGAUCGUACCCACAUUUACUUGGAUAACUGUGGUAAUUCUAGAGCUAAUACAUGCAAACAGAGUCCCGACCGGAGACGGAAGGGAUGCUUUUAUUAGAUCAAAACCGAUCGGUGUGCGCGUGUCGUCCGUACGCGGGCGGCCGUCGCCACCGCUAAUCAUGAUGAAUCUGAAUAACUUUUUGCUGAUCGCACGGUCCAGAACCGGCGACGCAUCUUUCAAAUGUCUGCCUUAUCAACUGUCGAUGGUAGGUUCUGCGCCUACCAUGGUUGUAACGGGUAACGGGGAAUCAGGGUUCGAUUCCGGAGAGGGAGCCUGAGAAACGGCUACCACAUCCAAGGAAGGCAGCAGGCGCGCAAAUUACCCACUCCCGGCACGGGGAGGUAGUGACGAAAAAUAACGAUACGGGACUCAUCCGAGGCCCCGUAAUCGGAAUGAGUACACUUUAAAUCCUUUAACAAGUAUCAAUUGGAGGGCAAGUCUGGUGCCAGCAGCCGCGGUAACUCCAGCUCCAAUAGCGUAUAUUAAAGUUGUUGCGGUUAAAAAGCUCGUAGUUGAAUCUGUGUCCCGCGCUGUCGGUUCAUCGCUCGCGGUGCUAACUGGCAUGCUGCGGGACGUAUUGCCGGUGGGCGACGGUCUACCCGGGGUCGUCGGAUGGAUGGAUGUCGUAUGGCGGGUUAGCGCUCGUCAUCACGCUCCGCAAUUCGCGCCCGGAUGACGGCCCAACAUGAAAAUCCUGCCGCGGUGCUCUUAGCUGAGUGUCGCAGCGGGCCGUCACUUUUACUUUGAACAAAUUAGAGUGCUUAAAGCAGGCUGAAAUUUUUGCCUGAAUAUUGUAUGCAUGGAAUAAUGGAAUAGGACCUCGGUUCUAUUUUGUUGGUUUUCGGAAAUCCGAGGUAAUGAUUAAUAGGGACAGAUGGGGGCAUUCGUAUUGCGACGUUAGAGGUGAAAUUCUUGGAUCGUCGCAAGACGGACAGAAGCGAAAGCAUUUGCCAAAAAUGUUUUCAUUAAUCAAGAACGAAAGUUAGAGGUUCGAAGGCGAUCAGAUACCGCCCUAGUUCUAACCAUAAACGAUGCCAGCUAGCGAUCCGCCGACGUUCCUCCGAUGACUCGGCGGGCAGCUUCCGGGAAACCAAAGCUUUUGGGUUCCGGGGGAAGUAUGGUUGCAAAGCUGAAACUUAAAGGAAUUGACGGAAGGGCACCACCAGGAGUGGAGCCUGCGGCUUAAUUUGACUCAACACGGGAAACCUCACCAGGCCCAGACACCGGAAGGAUUGACAGAUUGAUAGCUCUUUCUUGAUUCGGUGGGUGGUGGUGCAUGGCCGUUCUUAGUUGGUGGAGCGAUUUGUCUGGUUAAUUCCGAUAACGAACGAGACUCUAGCCUGCUAACUAGGCGUAAACAAUUUACCGGUAUCCCGAAGGCCCGGCGGUGUGCGUGUUGUUGCGGGUGUCGCGCGGUUGUUUUGCGUGGCUGCUUCAUGCUCGUGUUUCGGCACGGCGCAUGUUCGGUUCACGCAAGCCUCCCGUGCCCCGUAACGCCGUCAUUGUCCGCGGUUUUUACUACCGGCGUACUGCAAAUUCUUCUUAGAGGGACAGGCGGCUUCUAGCCGCACGAGAUUGAGCAAUAACAGGUCUGUGAUGCCCUUAGAUGUUCUGGGCCGCACGCGCGCUACACUGAAGGAAUCAGCGUGUCAUCCCUGGCCGAAAGGUCCGGGUAACCCGCUGAACCUCCUUCGUGCUAGGGAUUGGGGCUUGCAAUUGUUCCCCAUGAACGAGGAAUUCCCAGUAAGCGCGAGUCAUAAGCUCGCGUUGAUUACGUCCCUGCCCUUUGUACACACCGCCCGUCGCUACUACCGAUUGAAUGAUUUAGUGAGGUCUUCGGACCGGUGCGCCGCUCUGUUGUAUUCCGACAGGGCGGUAGUUGCUGGGAAGAUGACCAAACUUGAUCAUUUAGAGGAAGUAAAAGUCGUAACAAGGUUUCCGU
rnacentral:rRNA from 1 species